AUUGAACGCUGGCGGCAUGCCUUACACAUGCAAGUCGAACGGUAACGGGCCUUCGGGUGCCGACGAGUGGCGAACGGGUGAGUAAUACAUCGGAACGUGCCCGAUCGUGGGGGAUAACGAGGCGAAAGCUUUGCUAAUACCGCAUACGAUCUACGGAUGAAAGCAGGGGACCGCAAGGCCUUGCGCGGACGGAGCGGCCGAUGGCAGAUUAGGUAGUUGGUGGGAUAAAAGCUUACCAAGCCGACGAUCUGUAGCUGGUCUGAGAGGAUGAUCAGCCACACUGGGACUGAGACACGGUCCAGACUCCUACGGGAGGCAGCAGUGGGGAAUUUUGGACAAUGGGCGCAAGCCUGAUCCAGCCAUGCCGCGUGCAGGAUGAAGGCCUUCGGGUUGUAAACUGCUUUUGUACGGAACGAAAAGCCUUCUUUUAAUACAGGAGGGUCAUGACGGUACCGUAAGAAUAAGCACCGGCUAACUACGUG
rnacentral:rRNA from 1 species